GGUGUGUGGCAUGGGGGUGUGUUUGAUGUGUGUGAUGGGGGUGUUUGAUGUGGCCUCCUCAUCGUGAUAUCAUGAUGUCACGUGAUAUAUCGUGAUAUCGUGAUAUCGUGAUAUCAUGAUGUCCAUGAUC
rnacentral:ribozyme from 1 species